rnacentral:rRNA from 1 species
AACGAACGCUGGCGGCAGGCUUAACACAUGCAAGUCGAACGCAUCCUUCGGGGUGAGUGGCAGACGGGUGAGUAACGCGUGGGAACGUGCCCUUCAGUUCGGGAUAACCCAGGGAAGCUUGGGCUAAUACCGGAUACGUGCGAGAGCAGAAAGAUUUAUCGCUGAAGGAUCGGCCCGCGUCUGAUUAGCUAGUUGGUGAGGUAAUGGCUCACCAAGGCGACGAUCAGUAGCUGGUCUGAGAGGCUGAUCAGCCACACUGGGACUGAGACACGGCCCAGACUCCUACGGGAGGCGGCAGUGGGGAAUAUUGGACAAUGGGGGCAACCCUAAUCCAGCCAUGCCGCGUGAGUGAUGAAGGCCUUAGGGUUGUAAAGCUCUUUUACCCGGGACGAUAAUGACUGUACCGGGAGAAUAAGCCCCGGCUAACUUCGUGCCAGCAGCCGCCGUAA